rnacentral:rRNA from 1 species
GAUGAACGCUAGCGAUAGGCUUAACACAUGCCAGUCGAGGGGCAGCAUGGUCUUAGCUUGCUAAGACUGAUGGCGACCGGCGCACGGGUGCGUAACGCGUAUGCAACUUGCCUCACAGAGGGGGAUAACCCGUCGAAAGACGGACUAAUACCGCGUACACUUGGGAUAGGGCAUCCUGACCCAAGGAAAUGAAAUUCGCUGUGAGAUAGGCAUGCGUCCCAUUAGCUAGUUGGUGAGGUAACGGCUCACCAAGGCGACGAUGGGUAGGGGAACUGAGAGGUUGAGCCCCCACACUGGUACUGAGACACGGACCAGACUCCUACGGGAGGCAGCAGUGAGGAAUAUUGGUCAAUGGGCGAGAGCCUGAACCAGCCAAGUCGCGUGAAGGAUGACUGUCUUAUGGAUUGUAAACUUCUUUUAUACGGGAAUAACAAGAGUCACGUGUGGCUCCCUGCAUGUACCGUAUGAAUAAGCAUCGGCUAACUCCGUG